AGUGAACGCUGGCGGUAGGCCUAACACAUGCAAGUCGAACGGCAGCACAGUAAGAGCUUGCUCUUACGGGUGGCGAGUGGCGGACGGGUGAGGAAUACAUCGGAAUCUACUUUUUCGUGGGGGAUAACGUAGGGAAACUUACGCUAAUACCGCAUACGACCUACGGGUGAAAGCAGGGGAUCUUCGGACCUUGCGCGAUUGAAUGAGCCGAUGUCGGAUUAGCUAGUUGGCGGGGUAAAGGCCCACCAAGGCGACGAUCCGUAGCUGGUCUGAGAGGAUGAUCAGCCACACUGGAACUGAGACACGGUCCAGACUCCUACGGGAGGCAGCAGUGGGGAAUAUUGGACAAUGAGCGCAAGCCUGAUCCAGCCAUACCGCGUGGGUGAAGAAGGCCUUCGGGUUGUAAAGCCCUUUUGUUGGGAAAGAAAAGCAGCAGGUUAAUACCCCGCUGUUCUGACGGUACCCAAGGAAUAAGCACCGGCUAACUUCGUG
rnacentral:rRNA from 1 species